AUCCUCCAAGGCUAAAUACUCCUGACUGACCGAUAGUGAACCAGUACCGUGAGGGAAAGGCGAAAAGAACCCCGGCGAGGGGAGUGAAAAAGAACCUGAAACCGUGUACGUACAAGCAGUGGGAGCCCCACCACUAAGCCAGUGGUGAACUCCACAUACGCAUCCUUUGCUGAGGAUACGGUUAACGGAGCGAAAGCGACGUUCAACCUCAAAAGAAGCAGAGGGGGCUUAGUGGUGGGGUGACUGCGUACCUUUUGUAUAAUGGGUCAGCGACUUAUAUUCUGUAGCAAGGUUAACCGAAUAGGGGAGCCGGAGGGAAACCGAGUCUUAACCGGGCGUUAAGUUGCAGGGUAUAGACCCGAAACCCGGUGAUCUAGCCAUGGGCAGGUUGAAGGUUGGGUAACACUAACUGGAGGACCGAACCGAC
rnacentral:rRNA from 2 species